rnacentral:rRNA from 1 species
AACGAACGCUGGCGGCAUGCCUAACACAUGCAAGUCGAACGAGACCUUCGGGUCUAGUGGCGCACGGGUGCGUAGCGCGUGGGAACCUGCCCUUAGGUUCGGAAUAACUCCCCGAAAGGGGUGCUAAUACCGGAUAAUGUCUUCGGACCAAAGAUUUAUCGCCUUUGGAUGGGCCCGCGUUGGCUUAGCUAGUUGGUAGGGUAAAAGCCUACCAAGGCGACGUUCCAUAGCUGGUCUGAGAGGAUGAGCAGCCACACUGGGACUGAGACACGGCCCAGACUCCUACGGGAGGCAGCAGUGGGUAAUAUUGGACAGUGGGCGAAAGCCUGAACCAGCAAUGCCGCGUGAGUGAUGAAGGUCUUAGGGUUGUAAAGCUCUUUUACCCGGGAUGAUAAUGACAGUACCGGGAGAAUAAGCUCCGGCUAACUCCGUG